rnacentral:lncRNA from 1 species
UUUUUAGUAGUUUCGUGUCUAGAAAUUUCGUCUUAAAUGUGAAUAAGUAAAGUGUACGAGGUUCGAACUCCGACUCUUGUACAUAUGGUGUGAUGUCUCUAUCAACUGAGCUAAGCUACAAAGACUUUACUGAGUUAAAUUUAUACCGAUAAAAAAACACAAGUGUGAACAAUAUACAAUAUUGUGGAACCAAAUUAUCGAAUUUGGAUUAAAAAAAUCCUAUAGGCUCGAUCGAC